UACGAAGGGGGCUAGCGUUGCUCGGAAUCACUGGGCGUAAAGGGUGCGUAGGCGGGUCUUUUAAGUCAGGGGUGAAAUCCUGGAGCUCAACUCCAGAACUGCCUUUGAUACUGAGGAUCUUGAGUUCGGGAGAGGUGAGUGGAACUGCGAGUGUAGAGGUGAAAUUCGUAGAUAUUCGCAAGAACACCAGUGGCGAAGGCGCUCACUGGCCCGAUACUGACGCUGAGGCACGAAAGCGUGGGGAGCAAACAGG
rnacentral:rRNA from 1 species